GCAACUUGGAGGAAUGUAUAGCAUAAGCUAGUUAUAUUUAGUUAAAUAUAAUUUCGACUAUGUCGUAUAAAAUUCUAGGUAGAAUAAUGAUAAUGACAAUUUUCUAUCUAUUUGUCUUGACCAAAUCUCGUGCCAGCAGUCGCGGUAAUACGAGGGAGACUAGUGUUAGUCAUCUUUAAUAGGUUUAAAGGGUACCUAGACGGUAUUUCAAGCCAUUCACAUGGGACAGAUUUACUAGAGUUUAAUAUGUGAGCAGGUAGUAUUUUUGGUGUAGAGAUAAAAUUCGUUGAUACCAUAAGGACUGGUAAAAGCGAAAGCAACCUUAAGUGUUUUUCUUCGAAGAACACUAAGACUAGUAGGUUAUAUAACAUGGGGUGUAUUUAAGGGUAAAUACCUCAUAGGUUAUAAUUCUACUGUCUUAAACUAUGUAUAAACUGACGUUGAGGGACGAAGGCCAGGGGAGCAAGAAGGAUUAGAUACCCUAGUAGUCCUGGCAGAAAAUGAUGAGUGUCAUAAACUAGACAUUUUAGUUUAUAAAUGAAAGUGUAAGCAUUCCACCUCAAGAGUAAUGUGGCAACACAGGAACUGAAAUCAUUAGACCGUUUCUGAAACCAGUAGUGAAGUAUGUUAUUUAAUUCGAUGCUCCGCGAAAACCUUACCACAAUUUGAAUAUUUUUACAAGCGCUGCACGGCUGUCUUCAGUUAAUGUCGUGAGAUUGUGGUUAGCUCCAUAAAAUUAGCGUAAACCCUUGCUUUAUUUAUAUUUUUAAUAAAGUAGUUCGCCGUUAUAUUGGUUUGAUAUAAGGGAUCAAGACAAGUCAUCA
rnacentral:rRNA from 1 species